AUCGUGUACAGGGGGUGCUGCAGGCCAACCGGUCUGACCGGUCCCUGGCACCGGUCUGACCGGUCUAACCAACCGGUUUGACCGGUCUAACCAACCGGUCGGACCGGUCCCGCUGGUACAAAUACCCCUUCACUUGUGUUAGGUCAAGUGCUGCUUUUGUAUUGUAUCCGUGAAUUGUUCUGUUCUCCAGGCCGCCGCCUCUGUGUUCCUCUCCCCCUGUUCAUCUCUUUAGGGUAGAUUUGAAUGUUGUUUGUGUGAGAACUCUUGUGAAUUUGAUUGGGAAAGGAGGCCCUAACCUCCUCGUGCCCUCUGGGCAGUUUGAAUCAAUCCAUCUCCUCGUUUUGUGCCUUGUUUGAUGAAAUUUCGAUUUCGUUUUUGGUGCACUUGAUUGCGAGGAGUCCACGAGUUCUUUGCUGUGAUUCCCAUGCCUCUACUUUGUUCUUGAACCCUCUGGAAUCACUAACUCGUUCAAAUUCGAUUUCUUGGAGACUAGAGAAAACCCCACCCCCUUUGAUCUCAUCCCGAAAUUCUCGUGCUAUGGAUAUCUUUAGGGUGAGAUUUCUUGGGGAUACACUCUUGGGGUAGGAACGAAGCUAUCCUCCAAGUUUCAUCCAAUUUGGACGUGAUUUGCUCUCGAUUCACGGUUUUGGAACUGAAUUUUCGGGGUUUUCUGUACGCCACCGGUCAGACCGGUUGGCGAGACCGGUCAGACCGGUCUGCCUGUUUUUGAACUGCUUGACCGGUCAGACCGGUCCUCUAUACCGGUCAGACCGGUCUGUGCCUGAGCAGAUUCGAUUUGAGAAGUUUCUCUCGCUUUUGCUUCCGCUUUGCGACUCGGGUCUUUUGCUUCGAGAUAGCUUGUUCAUAGCUAUUCUCGCUGACCUAGGUUCGAGGAUUUGCGGUGGUUUUGGGAUAUAGGCCGACAAUUCGAAUUUCGACGAAAUUUUGAUCGGCUCCCAUUCACCCCCCCUCUGGUCACCGGCUUCGGUCCCACAACUUCCAUAACAGGUGUCAAGAAAGACCUCUGUGAGCUCCAGGGAAAACAUCAGGAGAUAAGUAGCUGGCUGGCUGUAGUUCGUGACAGAGCAUUAGGGAGUGGCACACAACUUCCAUGGGUGAACGAAUUGAGAAAUGUUGCCUAUGAUAUUGAAGAUUUACUCUAUGGAGUCCACCUUGAAGCUGAGAAAGACAAGAUACAUAGCGAUGGUGACGAGCAAACAAUAGCAGACUAAAGACAAGAUACAUAGCGACGGUGACGAGCAAACAAUAGCAGACUACUUCUGUGCAAAACCAAAAUCAUUACUGUUCAGAUGCAAGGUGGCUAGUAAGGUCAAGGCAAUCAAGGUGAAAUAUGAGAAGAUUGUGAAGCAUGCAAGCGAUGCCAACAUUAUAAGGAACAAUUUACAAAUGGAUCAUCCUGCUCGGAGCAGCAACACCAGGACUGCUGGAGAGCCCUCCAUGCUAUCUAAUGUUGAAGACUCCAAAAUACCAAGAAGAGAUCAGGAGAAGGAUGAAAUUUCUGGCGCCGCCGAGACCCCUCCAGUGAGCUCCGACGGUGGCGGCGCGGUAAGGAACCAGCGGAGGUGAACAGUCCCGAGACAGAUGAUUCUGCAAAAAUGGGAGAGGACCAAUAUUUUUCCAAGAGCCGAUUGGACAUCAAGAAUCCAACUGAGGCAAUCAUGCACACCACCUCUGCAAGCACCAUCGGGCACCUGCCAUUAACGGAUUCCCGUACUCUCGACCAGGCUUGGUCCUGAUGCGAUUGAAGGUGCAGCAGCCAGCAGGCCAUGAGGACGAGGGAGGUAGCAGCCUGGACACAAGGAGUCAGGCUGCCGGCCGUGAUGCUUGAUGGAGGUGGCAGGUCUCCAACCUCGGGGGCCACGGACGACAUGCGGGUGCUGUCCGUGAGCUGUGCGAGCUGCUGAUGCGGGUGCUGGACGAGGCCGGCGCACCUCCAGCGGCCGUUCGGCGAAGCCGGGUGCCGCCCGACCCUGCAGCCGGACCUGACACUGGGGCUCUCGGCGCACUGGACCGGGGUGCCCUCACCGUGCUCCUCGCCGACGAGCACAUCUGCGGCCUGCAGGUCCGCCGCGGUGCCGGGGAGUGGGUCACCGUGCAGGGACCCCGACGACGGUGGCGCAACGAUGGCUGCGCACGGCAUGGCCCACGGCAGCGGACCGGCGGCCGGCGCAGCAAGGCCCGCGGCGACUCGGCGCGUGGGGUGCGCGGUGAGGCCCACGGCGGCGCAGGGGAGCCCAGCAGCGGCUCACAGCCCGUGCUUUGAUUUUUUAUUGUUUUAUUUGAUUUGUAGGCAUGACCGUCCCUGAAAACCAAUUUUUAAGAACGGGUCAUGCCUCAACCCGUCCUUAGAAAUGAGUUUUUAGAGACGGUUAUAACAUCCACCCCUACAAACAACUAUUUUUAACUGCGAAAAGCAGGGACGGGUGCAGUACCCAUUCUUAAAAAUAGUUUUUUACCCGCCCCUACA